UACAGAGGUCUCGAGCGUUUGUUCGGAUUCAUUGGGCGUAAAGGGUGCGUAGGUGGCUAGGUAAGUCGGAUGUGAAAUCCCGGGGCUCAACCCCGGAACUGCAUUCGAUACUGCUUGGCUUGAGUACUGGAGAGGAGAUUGGAAUUUACGGUGUAGCAGUGAAAUGCGUAGAUAUCGUAAGGAAGACCAGUGGCGAAGGCGGAUCUCUGGACAGUUACUGACACUGAGGCACGAAGGCCAGGGGAGCAAACGGG
rnacentral:rRNA from 1 species